CAGCGCCUAGAGAGCGGUCUUUUAGAAUCACUGAGGGGUUGAUGAGGUAAAGAUAUUAGCAGACACCUGUCCAUCUCUUUUUGAUGGCUAAACGAGGCUUGACCUGGGCUGAAAGAGCUGAGAGUAAGGGGGCACUUCUUCAGCUCCCUGGGCCCUAGGAACUGGGACCCUGGAACCCAGUAAAAACUUGUCAUUCCAGAUUUAGAAAUGGCCUGAGCAUAAGCCUGAAGGCAUGGAACUGGUCUGAAGGCUUACACUUCUGCUCCAUCAAAAACCCUUCUCCAGGAAGAGCCAGAAUCUUUUAAAAAGCACUUGGCAUUCAGGGUCUUAGUUCCCCGACCAGGGAUCAAACCACUGGACUGCCAGAUCAUCCAGAUUUGAACUUGAGGGGCACUGCUGGCUUGAACAUGACCCAGAAACAAAAGACAUACCUCUCAAAGGUCAUCCACCAAACAAAAAAUGAGAAACACUGCAUGCUGGGUUUUUUUCCUCCUCCGGAGUGAGUCUGUGCUCUAACUUUGGAUUUUCAAUACGUUGUUAUCCUGUCUAUGUGAACCUCCCAUUUUCCUCUCCUGUCUUUUGAUUCAUUUGAUCUGUAACUCUUUACAUUCAAUUAACCGCUCACGUCUUUGAUGUUUCCUUUUGCCAUGUGGUAAUUCUCAGACUAUCCUGAAGUGAACUAUUAGGAAGUGCAAGCUUUGGAAAUGAGGCCAAGAUAAAAGGAAAAGGAAAAUACUCUUGAGUUCCCUUCUUUCCCUUAUGAAAUAAAGCAGAUUUAAACUGUACUCUCCCCCCACUCCCCUCUUUUGGACUGUUAACUGUGUCAUUGGUUUUCAAUAAACAGGACUGCCAAACUCACCAAAAAAAAA